rnacentral:rRNA from 1 species
CUUGCCGGCGUGGCUAGACUGCAAGUCGAACGGACCUGUUAAUUUAUUAGCAGGUCAGUGGCGAAAGGGUGAGUAAUGGAUAGGUAACGUACCCCGUGCUCUGGGAUAGCUGUCCGAAAGGACAGGUAAUACCGGAUGAUAUCACCGGCUGACGGGUCGGUGAUCAAAGAUUUAUCGGCGCGGGAGCGGCCUAUCUCCUAUCAGCUAGUUGGUGAGGUAACGGCCCACCAAGGCGAAGACGGGUAGCGGGACUGAGAGGUUGGCCCGCCACAUCGGAACUGAGAUACUGUCCGGACCCCCACGGGGGGCUGCAGUAACGGAUCUUGGGCAAUGGGCGAAAGCCUGACCCAGCGACGCCGCGUGCGGGAGGAAGUCCUUCGGGAUGUAAACCGCUGUCAGGGGUAAGAAAGUCUGUUUCGGCAGAUUGAUCUAACCCAGAGGAAGUCACGGCUAACUCUGUGCCAGCAGCCGCGGUAAGACAGAGGUGGCAAGCGUUGUUCGGUAUCACUGGGCUUAAAGCGUGUGUAGGCGGAAGCGUAAGCAUUUUGUGAAAUCCCCCGGCUUAACCGGGGAAUAGCUUGAUGUACUGCGUUUCUUGAGGCAGGUAGGGGUGCGAGGAACUCUUGGUGGAGCGGUGGAAUGCGUAGAUAUCAAGAGGAACGCCGGUGGUGAAGACGUCGCACUGGGCCUGUCCUGACGCUGAGACACGAAAGCGUGGGGAGCGAACGGGAUUAGAUACCCCGGUAGUCCACGCCGUAAACGAUGCCUACUAGAUUGUGGCGGUUCUGAC